GGCUCAGGAUGAACGCUAGCGGCAGGCUUAAUACAUGCAAGUCGUGGGGCAGCAGGUUUGUAGCAAUACAGAUGCUGGCGACCGGCAAACGGGUGCGGAACACGUACAGAACCUUCCUUGAGCGGGGAAUAGCCCAGAGAAAUUUGGAUUAAUACCCCAUAGUAUGAUGAAGUGGCAUCACUUUAUUAUUAAAGAUUUAUCACUCGAAGAUGGCUGUGCGGCUGAUUAGGUAGUUGGCGGGGUAAAGGCCCACCAAGCCUGCGAUCAGUAACUGGUGUGAGAGCACGACCAGUCACACGGGCACUGAGACACGGGCCCGACUCCUACGGGAGGCAGCAGUAAGGAAUAUUGGUCAAUGGAGGCAACUCUGAACCAGCCAUGCCGCGUGGAGGAUGAAGGUCCUCUGGAUUGUGAACUUCUUUUAUAUGGGACGAAAAAAGGCUUUUCUAAGUCGUCUGACGGUACCAUAUGAAUAAGCACCGGCUAACUCCGUG
rnacentral:rRNA from 1 species